UACAGACGCACAGACGCACAGACGUACGCACCGCCCGCAGGACAGCGCAGCGCCUUCGAGCGCAAACAGGGUCGGCGCGUUUACUGUAAACACGCGCUGCUCUCAAACCGUGCCCAGACUCGGCUGCGUGCGGCGCUGGGACACCAGGACCCAGCCCUGGCGCAGGCACACCAGGACCCAGCCCUGGCGCAGGGACACCAGGACCCAGCCCUGGCGCAGAACGCCAGCCGAGAGAGAGACAGAGGGAGCUGGAGGUGUGGUCUAUUGUUUUUUGCGGAAGAGGUGUAGGGUUACACUGCCGCCAAACCUCCAAAGAGCUCCGUCACCCCCCCCCCCCCCUUUUUCUUUUUUUGCUCCCUGGCGGGGAGAAGGGACUAACUCCCAUUUAUUAAUAUGAAGAAGAAGAAAAAAUAAUUGCUGUAAAGAAACAGCGGAUACCCACUGCGCGUGGAAGUCGACCAGCACGGGGAGGCUGCUGUUGAUGACGCGCUCCGUGAAAUCCUCCUGGUCCUGCACGCUGAAGGACACGUUUCGCCGGGAGGUGACGGACACGGCGGGCGACGGCGCGCGGGAGAACAGGGAGGCCGAGGACGCGCAGAGAUGGGGGCAGCGGAUAUCCUUCACGGGCGCGUUCCAGAUCCUGCGGACUAUGAGUCUGUAAGCCAUCUGUGAAACGCCACAGACCAAAAAAAAA